GUAUGGGUAAGGCAACAAUCCCAAAAACAUUGCAAGAAGUCAGCAGAGUUCGUAGUACCAAGCAUAAAUCGUUUAAAAAGAACGACAGGCAAAGAUUAAAAGCCCCGCUUGGGAAGGAA
rfam:Candidatus Gottesmanbacteria bacterium RIFCSPLOWO2_01_FTLL_48_11 rifcsplowo2_01_scaffold_138045, whole genome shotgun sequence.